CUGGGGCUCCGCGCACUCCGGUCUCGCCCGGCGGCGGGUCCGGGUGCCCGAUCUCUCCGAACCGGACUGCGAACGCCGAGCAGCCGCGCUCCGGGACUGGUGUGUCCCCGCCGCAUCUGACUGCUGGCUGCGCCGGGCCCGGAUGCACCGCGGAAAGCAGCUAGAGAAAGAGGGUGGGAUUCCGACAGGUUCUGACAACCAGAGGGAAGUAUAUAGUCAGCUGGAAUCUUCUGGGAAAAGAUGGGACAUCUCUUCUGCCUUUUCUUCCCUGCUUGUAACACCGUGGUAUGAGGCGUGGUGCUGGGAACUCCCGGGCAUCUUCUGACUUGAAGGAUGAUGAAGGAGGACCCAGCAGAAGGAUGGAAAGAGACACUGCACCAUCCUUGGAUGUUUUCUUUCAGGCUUUUGUUUAAAAUCACAAGUAGUACCCUAAGGCCUACUUUCCUAAGGAUUAAAACCAAGGCAUGGCAAUGAAGAAUCCAGGUGUAAUUCUCAGAUGCAUGCAGAUGUUGAGAAGGCAGCGAUAUUUCCUGGAAGGCUGUCACUGCAAAAUCACCCUGUUCACGUACAAUCAACACAACCGUGAAUACCUUUGAACAAAUGCCAUUUUGCUCGUGUACGAAAAUAUCUGCAGGAUAAAUUCCUCAAGUGCAAUGGCCAAGUCAAAGGCCCUGUGUCCCACCUCCCACCAGCGUUCUUCACCUCCCCUCAUUAGUUCAUGACCAUGGGUCACACAUACAGAGGAGAAGGGAAGGAGAAAGAGAGGGAGAGAAACAUUAGUGUGUGGUUGCCACUUUCACAGCCCCCACUGGGGACCUGGUCUACAGCCCAGGCAUGUGCCCUAACUGGGAACCAAAUCAGUGCCAUUUGGUUUGCAGGCCCACACUCCAUCCACUGAGCUGCACCAGCCGGGGCUAUUUAAUUUAUUUUCAUAAAAUGAGUCAUUAUUUCCUCAAGGUCUGAGUUUUCUUGGAUUUAAAAAUGAGGAUAUUGUUCUAGAUUUUCAAGAUUCUUCUAAGCACCAAUCAUCUGUGAACUUGUUAUAUUGCUUUGAACGAUGAAGAGUGUGAGGUUGUAGAGAAAAUAUACAAGUUUGAGUAAGUGAAAACACACAGCUGGAUUCUAAAAGAAGCCAUAGCAGAGUGAAAGGAAAGAUAUAAAUAAACAUUUUUUUCAUUACAUUUUUAAAGAGUUAUCAAAGAAAUUCAAGCAAAAACAGGAGAUAUCAUUUUAUACCUACUAGAUCUGACAACCUCAUUAAACUUCACCUGAAUGUGAACAGCGACAUGGGGGCAUGUAACCCUGAUGCAAGCCCCAGUGUACCAUCUGUGGGCAUGUGGAUGGGUGCAGCCAUUUGGGAGAGGAGCUGGCACCACUUGGGCAAGUUAGGUUUACAUGUAAACUAUGACCUAGCAUUUCCACUUGGAUAUUUAUUGCAAAGAAAUUCUUAUGUACUUGUACAAGGAUAUUCACCACAGCGUAAUUUGUGAAAGCAACCCAAGUGUUCUUCGGGAAGUGGACCAGUAAACCAUGAUGGUGCAUGCUUGUAGGCAGGCCAGAGGAGGAGCACAUCAGGGGCAUCACACAGCAGCACACAUGCUUUCCAAAUCAUGGUCCCCAGUGAGUAAUGUAAGUUACAAAGUGAGCUAUAACCGUAUAAACUGCAUACAUUUAAAAUUAUGCACUGAAAACAAUACGUGUUUUGUAAAGUUAUAAACAAAAAGAUGUAUGUUAAACAUAAUAUAGUGAUGACGUAUGGGAAGGCAAAAGGAAUAGAAUAUGAAUAUGUGAAUAAAAUAUGUAUGUAUUAUAUAUGCAUCCAGCAGAAGUAACCUGUGCUUGAAUGUGGUUGGUAGAGUAAUAAUAUGCAUGUAAUAAUUUAUAGUUUUAAUUUGAACAUUUCACCUAAAACAUCAUAUGACAUGCUUGAGUGUGAUAUCGUUAUGUUACAGAAUUACAUGCUUAUGAUUUUGUAAUAAAAAAUUUUGUAAUAAGAAAGGGGCAUUAUUUGUGGUGGACUGUGUGUGUACACACACACACACACAUAUGUAUACUUGCAUGUAUAGAUACAAAACAACAAAGAGAUUUGGUCAAAUGAUAAUAAUAUACUAUGAACAGAGACAUAUGAUUAACUCAACUCCAAACAAAUGAGAUCCCUCAAUUUUAAAAAAUGCUCAAAAUAAAGGAUAUACAUUAUAAAAAUGCAAACAGCAUGGAAAGGUAUAAAGUAUGAUUCAUACUUUCUAGUAUCCCACUCUUGUCUAUUUUCUGAACCCAGUUCUUAAAGUUUGCAGCCCAUUAAUAGUUUUGGUCUAACCUCUCUCUGUGUCCAUUUCAGCACAGGAGGAUCUGCACUUGCUAUAAUAAUGGCAGAGUACUCCAUGGUAGAGAGAUAUGGCAUAAUUUAAUCAAUUCUCUGUUGAUGAACCCUGUUUACUAGAGUGUUUCCCAUUUUCUUAUUGAUUUUUCAGCGUGUUCAUAUAUUAAUAAAUCUCAUUUGAAUUUUCAUUUUCUGAGCUCUUGCAAUAUUUUCAGUCACUGUCAAAGUCUAUCUCUUAAGUAUUUACUAUGUGUGUAUUUUACUGUGGCUCAUAUUUCCCUAACACAUUGUACUCGUAGCCAAAUAAAUUUUAUAUAAUUUUUUGUUUGUUCAUUUUCGUGAUUGCUUUUCAGUAACCCCUAACACAAUAUUAGAUAUGAAGUAUGUGUUCACAUAUCCUGAAUGACAUCGGGAAUUGCAUAUGCAAAGGAACUGAUCAAUGCUCCUCAAUGUAUAUAUUAAUGUUAAUCAAUGGGUUUUGUUAGAAAAUUUCAGCUUAAGCUGGACAUAUUUUUUUAAAGAUUUUAUUUACUUACUUUUAGAGGGAGGGCAAGGGAGAGAGAAAGAGAGGGAGAGAAACAUCAAUGUGUAAGCGAUACAUUGAUUGGUAACCUCUUGUACACUCCCAACCGGGGACCUGGCCUGCAACCCAGGUAUGUGCCUGACUGGGAAUUGAACCAGUGACCUUUUGGUUCUUGGGCUGGCACUCAAUCCACUGAUCCAUGCCAACCAGGGCUGGACAUAUAUUUUUUUUAAUGUCAACAAUCUCUCUCUCUCAUUCUCUCUCUCUCUUUCUCUCACAUCCUGGAAUUACAGCACUUAUACCAUAUUCAAAUGUUGCAGAAUUACCCCCAAAAUGUAAUAGAAAAUCAUGAUAGAAAAUUUUACUAUAAUUUAUUUAUCAGAUAUUAUGUGUCGAAUUCUGUCCCUCCAAACAUUCAUGUGUUGAAGUCCUAACCCUAGUACCUAUGAAUCUGACCAUUUUUUACAAAAAUUU